CUACGGGCUGCACCAGUGGGGAAUAUUGCACAAUGGGCGCAAGCCUGAUGCAGCCAUGCCGCGUGUAUGAAGAAGGCCUUCGGGUUGUAAAGUACUUUCAGCGGGGAGGAAGGGAGUAAAGUUAAUACCUUUGCUCAUUGACGUUACCCGCAGAAGAAGCACCGGCUAACUCCGUGCCAGCAGCCGCGGUAAUACGGAGGGUGCAAGCGUUAAUCGGAAUUACUGGGCGUAAAGCGCACGCAGGCGGUUUGUUAAGUCAGAUGUGAAAUCCCCGGGCUCAACCUGGGAACUGCAUCUGAUACUGGCAAGCUUGGGUCUCGUAGAGGGGGGUAGAAUACCAGGUGUAGCGGUGAAAUGCGUAGAGAUCUGGAGGAAUACCGGUGGCGAAGGCGGCCCCCUGGACGAAGACUGACGCUCAGGUGCGAAAGCGUGGGGAGCAAACAGGAUUAGAUACCCCGGUAGUC
rnacentral:rRNA from 1 species